AUUGAACGCUGGCGGCAGGCCUAACACAUGCAAGUCGAGCGAGCGGCGGACGGGUGAGUAAUGUAUGGGGACUGCCUGAUGGAGGGGGAUCACGACUGGAACCGGUGGCUAAUACCGCAUACUAUCGGAUAACCCAUAUGGGAUUAGCUAGUGGGUGGGGUAAAGGCGCACCUAGGCGACUAUCGCUAGCUGGUCUGCGAGGAGGAUCAGCCACACUGGGAAUGAGACACGGCCCGUACUCCUACGGAGGCAGCAGUGGGGAAUAUUGCACAAUGGGCGAAAGCCUGAUGCAGCCAUGCCGCGUGUAUGAAGAAGGCCUUAGGGUUGUAAAGCACUGUCAGCGGGGAGGCGUUACCCGCAGAAGAAGCACCGGCUAACUCCGUGCCAGCAGCCGCGGUAAUUC
rnacentral:rRNA from 1 species